UACGUAGGGGGCUAGCGUUGUCCGGAUUUAUUGGGCGUAAAGAGCGUGUAGGCGGCCAGGUAGGUCUGCUGUGAAAACUCGAGGCUCAACCUCGAGACGUCGGCGGAAACCAUCUGGCUAGAGUCCGGAAGAGGAGAGUGGAAUUCCUGGUGUAGCGGUGAAAUGCGCAGAUAUCAGGAAGAACACCCGUGGCGAAGGCGGCUCUCUGGGACGGUACUGACGCUGAGACGCGAAAAGCGUGGGGAGCAAACAGGG
rnacentral:rRNA from 1 species